GGGGGCAACCCUGAUCCAGCCAUGCCGCGUGUGUGAAGAAGGCCUUCGGGUUGUAAAGCACUUUCGGCCGGAACGAAAUCGCGCGGGUGAAUAUCCCGUGUGGAUGACGGUACCGGAAGAAGAAGCACCGGCUAACUACGUGCCAGCAGCCGCGGUAAUACGUAGGGUGCGAGCGUUAAUCGGAAUUACUGGGCGUAAAGUGUGCGCAGGUGGCCGCGCAAGUCGAGUGUGAAAUCCCCGAGCUUAACUUGGGAAUUGCGCUCGAAACUACGUGGCUCGAGUGUGGCAGAGGAAGGUGGAAUUCCACGUGUAGCGGUGAAAUGCGUAGAGAUGUGGAGGAACACCGAUGGCGAAGGCAGCCUUCUGGGCCAACACUGACGCUCAUGCACGAAAGCGUGGGGAGCAAACAGGAUUAGAUACCCUGGUAGUCCACGCCCUAAACGAUGAUGACUAGUUGUUGGAGGAGUUAAAUCCUUUAGUAACGCAGCUAACGCGUGAAGUCAUCCGCCUGGGGAGUACGG
rnacentral:rRNA from 1 species